rnacentral:rRNA from 1 species
AACGCGAAGAACCUUACCAGGGCUUGACAUCUACAGAAUCCUUGGGAAACCAAGGAGUGCCUUUCGGGGAGCUGUAAGACAGGUGGUGCAUGGUUGUCGUCAGCUCGUGUCGUGAGAUGUUGGGUUAAGUCCCGCAACGAGCGCAACCCCUGUGUUUAGUUGCUAACGAGUAAUGUCGAGCACUCUAGACAGACUGCCGGUGAUAAACCGGAGGAAGGUGGGGAUGACGUCAAAUCAUCAUGCCCCUUAUGUUCUGGGCUACACACGUGCUACAAUGGCCAGUACAGACGGACGCGAAGCCGCGAGGUGGAGCAAAUCCGAGAAAGCUGGUCUCAGUUCGGAUUGCAGGCUGCAACUCGCCUGCAUGAAGUCGGAAUCGCUAGUAAUCGCAGGUCAGCAUACUGCGGUGAAUACGUUCCCGGGCCUUGUA